GUUCACUAUGGUUCCAUGGUCCUGGCUCAGUUGGGAUGAGAAUGAGCUGAAAGUCUACUGAACCUUAAUGACUUCCUCAAACUUCUUCUCACUUAUCCUCCAUUGCUGGAACAACCAGGGUGAAGCCCUGGGUGGAGCCACCUUGCCUUCAAGGCCAAGAACCUUGCAGGCCAAGAACAAGCAGGACUUGUGCUGAUUGGGACUCACAUAUGGAGCAUUCUUCCUCCCCACUCACCUCUUAAAAUUAAUUACUUUUCUAAAAAGGUGUUGUGGCAGUUUACCUCCCCACCAGCAACAAGUGAGACAGAAGUUUUCCCACUCUCUUGUCAAUAUUCAGUGUAAUCGAAAUUUUCAAGUUUUUGUUAAUCUGCUAGAUGAAAAAUGGACUCAUAUCUUAUUUUAAAUUGAUAUUCAUCUCAUUGUACAAUAAAGUUGUGCAUUGUACUAUAUACAAUUAAAUUUUACUUCAUAUUUCAUUUUCUAUCAA